UUUCCACUGUCUCUGUGUUCCAUGUCCCUACAUCCACCAGCUCAUCUAGCUAGGUCUUGGUAAUUUAAUAUAUGCUGAUUUCCUUAGUCAAAGUAGAUCCUCUAAAGGAGAAUGCACUUCACUGCUUCUCUGGAUACAUCAUGUCUAAGGGAAGGAACAAUGAUCUUAACAGAAGGCCCAUUAGCAAUAUUUGUCUUCCACCCCAAUCCCGAACAAAACAUAAGAGGAGAACUCCUGCUUACAGUAUCUGCAUCUUGUCAUACUAUCAAGCCCUUUCUUGUGAGCAGAGCCCCCAAGGGGGGUGGAAGGGCCAAGCCUCUGGUUUGAGUAAUGGAGCAGGUACCCAUUCAGAUGAGGAAGCAGGGCAGGAAAGCCUGCAGUG